rnacentral:lncRNA from 1 species
CUGCACAUCGACCGUGAUCAUGCAGCUUCGGUACCUACCGAGAAGACUGAGACGGCGAGGAGAAACGGCUCCCCCUUCUCUCCACAUCGCACUGCUCCGUGGUGAGCAGCGACUCCCGGUGCCGAUGCAAUCGGCGUGGCGAGAUCCGCACCUGGUCGUACGACAUCAAAGCAUCAUGGCAUCAAAAGAGGAAGAGGGAGAUCGAGUUACCCACCUACGGUGAAUUCCAUUGACGACGGUCGAUCGCCCGACCCCUCCGACGAUUGGAUGAUCUCGAGGGUUUUUGUCUUUUUUCCACUUUCCUUCCUGUUUAGAACACGAGGGUAUUUAUAGGGAAGCUUAUUGUUUCCUGAUAUGCCCGCUUGCAGGGAGCAGGAUCGUACUCCUGGCGUGAAGGAUCGAGCCUGAGCUACUGUGUCUCGGCCGGCGGUCCGAUCUGUUAGACUAGGUGGUGUCAGGUCAACCGAGACGUCAUCUAGGGCUGGCAUCAACCCGAGUCUUAUCGUCAUUAUUACCCUAAUCAGGC